rnacentral:rRNA from 1 species
GACGAACGCUGGCGGCGUGCUUAACACAUGCUAGUCGAACGGAAAGGCCCUGCUUUUGUGGGGUUCUCGAGCGGCGAACGGGUGAGUAACACGUGAGUAACCUGCCCUUGACUUUGGGAUAACUUCAGGAAACUGGGGCUAAUACCGGAUAGGAGCUCCUGCUGCAUGGUGGGGGUUGGAAAGUUUCGGCGGUUGGGGAUGGACUCGCGGCUUAUCAGCUUGUUGGUGGGGUAGUGGCUUACCAAGGCUUUGACGGGUAGCCGGCCUGAGAGGGUGACCGGGCACAAUGGGACUGAGAUACGGCCCAGACUCCUACGGGAGGCAGCAGUGGGGAAUAUUGCACAAUGGGCGGAAGCCUGAUGCAGCAACGCCGCGUGCGGGAAAACGGCCUUCGGGUUAUAAACCGCUUUCGCCUGUGACGAAGCGUGAGUGACGGUAAUGGGUAAAGAAGCACCGGCUAACUACGUG